CAAUGUUUACAUUCGCUUCCAUUGGUUCAACGAGUCGUUCAAACAGGUGGUGAUUUGUCUGUCCACUCGUUUUGAGCCACUGAAAUAUGUGCUGGAAGUAAGUUCUGCAUUGUAAAUUAUAACAUAAUUAUUAUGAAUAAUAUUGGAUUGAACACUUACCUUGUAUAGACUAUUCUGGCAGCACCGUAAAACAAAUACUGAUCAAAACAAACGAACAUGUGUUGAAAAUUGCAUAUAUUCAAGCGUUUCUGAAAUGUUUCCUAAAGGAAAAUAUCAGGGACGCAAACCAAAACAAAAUAAUUCUCUGAAGAUAUGCAACAAGUGAACCAAACAACUCGAAAAGUUCUGCCACUUCCCAGAUUCCUAUAUUUUCGAGCGGUUAUAAGCAUAGUGUCGACCGAGUGACGAAAAGUGCUACAAAUGUGCCGAAAUUUUACCCCGCCUUGCCACCCCCGCAGACAGCACUGACCCUAAGCUUCUGCUAUAAUCACAAUAAAACUACACGAAUUGAGCGAAUCGCUAUCACAGCAGCCUUUUUUUUCCUCAUUGAACUGUCAAAACACAACACAUCAGUUUUUGGAAAGAGAAACGAUUUUUAUUGGCUUGAUCGAACUCCCGAACUGCAGACUAGACAGAUAGGACAGGUUAAUUUCACAUUGCCUUUUAUUGCUCCAGCUUCUACAGGCAUCAUAGUAAAUACAGGUUAAUCUUACAUUGCCUUCCACCGCUCCACCGACAGCAGGCAUUCACAUUAAUAUUAUUAUAUACUACACACACUUUUAACAUGAAUAUAUAUUUAGAUGUACAUUAUAAAACUAAGUGAAUAACCGAUAAGUUGCAAUUGUAUUUAAGUGUAAAUUGCUUUUUCUAGAAAUAAAAUACAUAUUUUUUAUCAACGGUA